rnacentral:rRNA from 1 species
UACAGAGGGGGCAAGCGUUGUUCGGAAUUACUGGGCGUAAAGGGCGCGUAGGCGGCCUUCUAAGUCGAACGUGAAAUCCCUGGGCUCAACCCAGGAACUGCGUCCGAUACUGGGAGGCUUGAAUCCGGGAGAGGGAUGCGGAAUUCCAGGUGUAGCGGUGAAGUGCGUAGAUAUUCGGAAGAACACCAGUGGCGAAGGCGACUCGCUGGACAAGUAUUGACGCUGAGGUGCGAAAGCGUGGGGAGCAAACAGG